ensembl:lncRNA
UAAAAAGAGAAAUGUUGCCUUCAGCCACCCAAUAUUCAAAUUAACACCAGCAGAAUAAUAAACCUGGCAAUAAUAUUGAUCUCUUGUAUUCUAUCUUAUUGUUACAGAGGGCUAUUUUCUUUUACCUCAGAUUAUCUGAUGACUAUUAUUGUGUUGUAGCAUUUCCCCAAUUAGCCGUGUGGGGCUGAGGAUAGAAUGAGUAAUUCCAACAAACGUAUUUAUUUUUGUUUAUAUUUUCAUCUGUGGAAAUAUUGGGUGUUUUUGUGUGUGUGGGUGUCUGUGUAUGGCUGCAGCCAUACAUUGCAGAGAGCACUCUUCUAUGUGAGCAAGUGUGUACUUGUGUGUUGCGGGUGAUGUUGACUUCCUGAGGCUGAUCACCACCUUCUUUCCCAGCGUCUUGUUUUUGCCCAUCUCUCCGCCUUUGUGGAAGUUGUGUGGGCACCCUCUGGAUUGCCUCACCGCCGAAGCAUGCCGGACCCUGUUAUCCAGCUAUCCAUCUGUGUUAUUGAUUUUUUUUUUCUUUUCUUUUUUUCCCCCCUCUUUGUAGAGUUUCAUCUUUCCUCCACUUUUCUGUAGAGCGAUGGAGAGGGAGGGAGUGUGAGAAAGGAGGGGCGAGCGAGGGGGCAGAGCACAGAUCUGAGAGGUGGGGGUGGGGAGGUGGAGGGAUGGAGCGUUGGAGGAGUGGAGCAGCGGUGGGGCUUCUGAGCAUAGGGGUGUAAGAGGUUGGGGUGGGGGGCACUCAGCCUGGACUAUGGAUGAGCAUAGAUGGGGAGAGAGAGAGAGAGAGAGCCUCUUGAAGUGUUGAAGCUUCUCCCUCUCUUUCUCUUUCUCUCCUCUUCGUUUCUCUCCAUUCUCAUGGGAGCAUCCCCCCCCCUCAUCCUUCUCCUUCCUCCCUCCUUCUCCAAGGCGCCUCUGGUACACACGCUCCACUUGCCACCCCCCUCCUCCUCCUUCUCUUCUUCCUCCUGCCUCUCGCUCCGUCCGCCUGCCUGCCGUCUCUCCAUCCCGGGGGGCUCGGGCAGUGCUGGCGGCACAGCCGUGAUUUGCAGGAGAUUUGUCUAAGUGAGAAGCAAUUAGUGCGCCUAAGCACCGCUAAUGUAUGCACGCUGGGGCCGCCCCUCCUGCUUGGCACUGCCAGGGCCAGGCCGAGCUAGGGCAUGGUUUACCUUCUACAUAGUCUGCACUUCUUCCUUUCAUCCGGAGCUGUCAUCUUGCUCCAGCCAUAACCCGGUGCUUGGUGAUCUAUGACCAUAAUGUGACUUAGCAGGCCACUUAGCUGUGC